rnacentral:rRNA from 1 species
GACGAACGCUGGCGGCGUGCCUAAUACAUGCAAGUAGAACGCACAGUUUAUACCGUAGCUUGCUACACCAUAAACUGUGAGUUGCGAACGGGUGAGUAACGCGUAGGUAACCUGCCUGGUAGCGGGGGAUAACUAUUGGAAACGAUAGCUAAUACCGCAUAAUAUUGAUUAUUGCAUGAUAAUUGAUUGAAAGAUGCUAUUGCAUCACUACCAGAUGGACCUGCGUUGUAUUAGCUAGUAGGUGAGGUAACGGCUCACCUAGGCGACGAUACAUAGCCGACCUGAGAGGGUGGUCGGCCACACUGGGACUGAGACACGGCCCAGACUCCUACGGGAGGCAGCAGUAGGGAAUCUUCGGCAAUGGACGAAAGUCUGACCGAGCAACGCCGCGUGAGGGAAGAAGGUUGUCGGAUCGUAAAGCUCUGUUGUAAGAGAAGAACGGGUGUGAGAGUGGAAAGUUCACACUGUGACGGUAUCUUACCAGAAAGGGACGGCUAACUACGUG